rnacentral:rRNA from 1 species
UGGGGAAUAUUGCACAAUGGGCGAAAGCCUGAUGCAGCGACGCCACGUGAGGGAUGACGGCCUUCGGGUUGUAAACCUCUUCAGCAGGGAAGAAGCGAAAGUGACGGUACCUGCAGAAGAAGCGCCGGCUAACUACGUGCCAGCAGCCGCGGUAAUACGUAGGGCGCAAGCGUUGUCCGGAAUUAUUGGGCGUAAAGAGCUCGUAGGCGGUCUGUCGCGUCUGGUGUGAAAUCCCAUGGCUCAACUGUGGGCUUGCAUCGGGUACGGGCAGACUAGAGUACUGUAGGGGAGACUGGAAAUUCCUGGUGUAGCGGUGGAAUGCGCAGAUAUCAGGAGGAACACCGAUGGCGAAGGCAGGUCUCUGGGCAGUUACUGACGCUGAGGAGCGAAAGCAUGGGGAGCGAACAGGAUUAGAUACC